rnacentral:misc_RNA from 1 species
CUCCUGCACUGAGAGCGCAACCACCUCUUCUCCCCCUGCCGAGCUUUUAAUCACAGAAUACUUCGGCAGCACACAUCGGAAGCGGCAUUUCGCGCGUCGGUUGCCCGCUUCUCACCGUUGUCGGCCCCAUCCUCUUCUCUCUCCUUUUUCAUUUUCCGUCACCGCACAGCCCCUGCCGUUUCAACGACGAGGAGACUGGCGAAACACACGCACACACGCGGAAGAACGCAAACAAGGGAAAGAAAAAAAAAAGACAGAAGACGGCAACAGCGCCACGACCGCCCUGCCGUUUCUUUUUAUUUUAUUUCUCCCCUCCCUCUUUGUGUGUGUGUGUGUGUCUGUGUGCUUCGUUGUGGUUGUUGUCUUGCUUUUCCUCCCCUUCCCCCGUAUUUUGCCUGUAUCUGACGUCUCUCUCUCUCUCUCUUAUCUUUAGUUUCGUUUCGUUCAUCACACUGCUACAUCGCCAUUGUUUUCACCCCUCCCCAUUUUUCUUUUUUGGUUCUUUUUCGUGCGCGCGCGCUCUCAUUUAGCUCCCUCGUUGGCAUUGGCCCUUGGUGUACCACCUUCUUCUUUUCCGGCUACGCACUCUCGUCACCUCCCACAGAUUUGCCCUCUCUCUCCCCCGCAAGCGAUACACGUUUACAAGGCCGCUGCGCUAUCGGCCACCUGUGUGCGCCAACAUCCCCAUCCCUCCCUGCCAUUGAGUGACGUGUGCGUGCACGCGCCUCUCGUUCUCUUUCACAGGUCAAGAGCAAAGGUGCACCCACCCACACCCACACCCAAGCUCACGCAGGCAGGGGGCCUGCAUCACCCCAUUCUUGUCUCACGUGCGAGCAGCGGAUCAACUCCCCUGCUCUCCCUAUUUUCUGUCUUUUGCCUUUUGCGGGUGCCGUUGUUCGUUCUUUGUAUCCAUUACUUGACUCACGUGCGUACGUGCCAAGCCCCCCCCCCUUCCUUUAUUCUUCUCACCGUUUCCGCUGCUCUUGUGGCGUUGGGUCGUGUAGCAACGAUACCCGGCUCUCCAUCCACUACCAAACACGCACGGGAAGCAUACCUGUACCCCCCUCCCUGCCUCGCUCAUCACAGAGGCUUUUCUCUUCAGACCACUGUCGCUUCCGAAGCGGACAAAAACAUUGCUUCCCAUUGGCGUGAGGCUACCUGUGCGCGUGUAGUGAGACUUUCUCACUUCAUUGUCGGAGCUUGAACCGCGCAGCAACAUUACAAAAUCGCGUGUGAUCCCCCGUGCAGAGGUUGAUUCGGCGUGCGCUCGUGAGGACGUGCAUCUCUGUGUCUUUCGCUUUCGAUCCCCCGUUGCCCCCGUUGUCUCCUUUCACACACACACACACACACACACACACACGCACACCGCAGACGAACAACACCCGCGAUUUUGUCUUUUCAGCGCUGCUGUUGUGCCGCUGUUUCGUUCUUGCCUUUUCUUGUACCGCCGCUGUAUCUCAUCUUGAGGCGAAGACGAGGGACGCCCGACUGUUAGCUUCGUAGUGUCUCUCUCUCUGUGCGUGUGUUCUGCGUUUGUGCCAUUCUUUGACUUUCUCGGUGUCUCAGCGCCUCCCCCCUUUUUUUUGUUUCUCUCUUCGCCUUCUUUUCUCUGUCUCUUUGUGUUUGCCUGACUCCGUAGUUCUGUGUCUGCUGCAUCCCGUAGAGCACGGGCUUCACCUCCCUCCCCCCGUCGUGCGUCUUCUGUCGCUCUCCCAUCUCCUUCCUCCCUCCCUCACCUCUUUGAACACUGCCCUGCUUCUCUUGUGUCGUUGUCCCCGUGUCGUGUCUGCACUUAUUUUAUUUCUGUUUUGUUGCAUCUCAAGCUUCGCCGCUGGUGCCAAGUCUUUCACCAUACCCUUCUCUUUCUUCUCUCCUCUCCUUGCCGAGGGCUGCCAGCUCUGCCACGUUGUGUCCUUGCUGUGUGCUGAUGCGUCACAAGAGGCCCUCUUUCGCGUUUCUCUCUCUCUCUCCCCCUCUGUCUGUCUUGCCUUACGUUUUUUUUUCUUUUGAAAAGUCCACACCGUGUCUUUCCUCGAUUCGGAUUUCACUGCCUUUCUGUCAACGCUUCAUUUUGCGUCUGCCGUGUGUAUGUCUUUUCUCCUCGGUCGUGGUGGUGCGAACGGCGGCUUUGUUUAGCUUUCUCGUGUACGUUGCAGGACUCUGCCCUCCCCCUCUCCUUCCUUUCCCUUCCCGCCCUUUCUUGCCGGUCGUACCCCUACGCCCUUCUCUUUAUAUUUCUCCCUCGGCAUAUCGGGCGCGGCUUUUGUCUGUGCCUUCUCGACUUCUUCUCUCGGCGCUUUAAUCGCCGGGCUUGACGUGGCUAGUGCUGUUUGCGUUGGGGUCUGCGCGUGCGCUAUUUGUACGCGCGUCGCGGUGCUGAACCUGUUGCCCAAGCAUUCUGCCAGCCUUCUCUCUCUCUCUGUCAGGUUGUCCUCUCCGUGUGGCGCAACCGCCAACGUCGAACGUAGAGCACAGAGCAGGAGAGUGCUGAGCGCGCAGUAGCGGAGCGCAUCACGGGUAAACAGCACCCAACGCAACAGGGGCAAGGAAAACAACAAAAAGAAACGAGCGCCCAGCAACGUAUACACGCGCAGAAGACGGCUUCACCGCGUUGGGCCGCCCCUCCCCUCUCCCCUUUCCCUCUCCCCGUCUCUUUUUUUUUUUCUGCUCGUACUUUGGAGGUGUGCUCUGCUGAUUUUCUUAUCUUCGUACACAACGGCUGUACUUCUUCGCAGAGGCAGGCAAGGCACACGACAAAAAAAGCCUCGUUCUCGCACACGCUUCCCCCCUCCUUGUACAGCGUAGUACAUAUAUACAGUGCGUAUAUUGUGUAUGUAUAUACAUAUCUACCUCUCUCUCUAUAUACUAUACAUAUCUGUAUACACACAUUGGCGUUUUCCUCUACGGCGAACACCACCACGGGGAGCGCGCGCGCGCACACACACACACACACACACACACAUACCAUAGACAAGACAACGCUUUCAAUACACGCGAACCACACGCGAACGGCUCAGGAGGAGAAAAAGAGAAGGAUAAAAUACUAACACGAUAAGCGUAAUAGGGAAGAGAAGAAGAUAGCGACUACACACAAACAUAAAGAUACGAAGUGCUCGCCACCUCGGGUCCACGCGUACACACGGAUACAAACACGCACAUGCAUCUAUACCGGUGCAGCAGAGACACUCCAUACACAACAACGGAGGUGGUACACGAAAAAUAAGAGAUAGACACGCUAGCCAUACAGACAAGCGUGCACACUGUCCCUCCAGCACGCGUCCCCCCAUCCCCAUCCCCAAUAUUCCAGGUCAACGGCAGGGGCGAAACGUACCACACACCCGCUCCCUUCCCCCCGUUUUAUUCUUGUUUCGGUGUUCCACCUCUUCACACCGCUCUUUUUCGUUUUCGUUUUUUCUCGCGCAUCACACGAUAGUGGUUUCUGUACAGCUGCAGCUUCUCGCCCUCCCCACAGACCUCUUCCACUCUUCAUCUUCUGCCGUCUCUCUCUUUCCUCCCCUCCCCUCUCCUUUCUUCUUUUCUGUUUUUGAUCUUGACGUGUGCCGCCGUUCCUUUCUGCCGUUGCCAUUGUGGUCGUUGUUGGUUUCCGCCGCUGCUGUUAUCAUCUUUCUGUGCUUCGCCUCAUUUUUAUCUCCUUUUCUUCCGGGCUUGUUGUUUGUGUUGCCGCCUCGAUCGUUUUCUUGCUGUUUUCCCAUUUCAUUCCAUCUCACCUCGCCUCACCUCAUCUCACCUGUCUGUGUUGUGCUGUGUUGUGCUCUUUCCAUUGUGGUCUGCCGUCUGCGCACGUGACUCCCUCAUCUCUUCUUCCGUUUUACGUUUGUGCUCCCCUCCCCUUUUCACCGUCUGCUACUGGCUGGAGGUGCACCAGUGCUUCUGCGACUGCGUUGUGCGAGUUUUCGGAUCGCUUGCUGUUGUUCGCACAAACGUCCUUCCCCUCCCCUCCCCUCCCCCCUCGCUCUCGACGCGAAUACACUGUGUCUUCCCAGGAAGCGCAAUUUACGCACACAAGUCGUCCUCGCACGGUUGCAGAGCGACGGCAGAGCAAAGAAAACAAAAGCUCGAAUCGCGAACAGUGACACUCCCCCGCUUGCGCACCCAUGCUCCGUCGAGCAGAUGACGACAUCAGGGCCUGUGCAGGCACCUCCGCCCCAUCGUCGCCGAGCUACCGAGACGAGUUGGCCUCCUGUGCUGACACGGAGCGCACGUUUGUGGCGGACAGCCACAGUUUGGCUAGCCCGCCGUCCCCAGCUCCGCUCGUGUACGUGUCGUUGACGCUUCCCUCGUCGGAGCACCCGUCGUUGCGCCUGUCCUUGGCGCCUGCGUCACCGUUACGUGCCAGCGCGGAGGGGCUUGUGCGAAGCCCGGCCAAGGGAAAAUCAUCUGCGCAUCCGUGUGCGUGCACUUGUGCAUAUAUGAAUGAGAUUACCGCCGUCCGAUACGCGUCGCCCCCGGAUUCCGGCCGAAGCAUGGUGUCAAGGGAAGGGAACAGCACUUCAGCUAACCUUGAAGACGUUGCAGAUGAACAGCGGUGCCCCAGAUGCUUCUGUGCCUACCUGGAGCCCACAGAAAUCCACGCUGUCGGCGACGACCUGUUCAACGACACUGGCGCCAGCAGCGUCAGUGCCCGUUGCAGUCGCAGCAGUAGUGUUUACCGUUCUGCAGAGGAGUGGGGCGUCUUGUGGACACAAGUGUUUCCACUUCACAUCUCCGUCUACCUCCGCGUGAGAGACGUGAUCGAGGUUUCACAGGUCUGCCGGAUGGCGCAUGGCGCGGCGCAGCAGACGUGGGUCUGGCGGUCGCUCGCAGAACACCACCACUCUAUCCAGCCAGCUGCGCUCGAGCAGACAUUCUCGAUGGCUGCUCGGGAAUGGGACGAGGAGAGACCGACCGAGACGCCGCAGCGCCUGCGCUCAUGCAGCCCUCUGCCUCUGCUGACUGGGACGAAUAGCCGUACCCCUCAGCGCAGCGUGCAUUUCCGGGCCGAAACGGCUGCGCACACAGCCGCCGGGGACGAUGAGGACGCAUCCAGCGAGGAAGCGGAAACGGGCGAGCUCGACACUCUCUCCAACGACGAAGGCGCAGGCGAGCUUGACACAACGCAACCGCCACGGUACACGGACGCUGCGAUGCCAUCCUCGGCGGCGGUGGCCGCCGCAGGUGCUGCCUCCGCUCCUGCCUCGCCUGCGGCUGUGGCGGAGGAGGUGGAUUCCGCUCCCCAUCGAUCUGGUCUACGUGCUCUGCCGUCUGGCACGUCCGCCCGGUUCCUAUGGCAGGCAACCGCCGCUGCAAUGCCGUCGCCGUCCAGCCCAGUGUCGUCCCCUCCGCCCGAGGACGACGAAGCCGCAGACGCCACAGAGGCAUCGAGCGUCACACCGCUACCCAGAGAAGCCGCGGGGAGGAGUCCUGCACCCUUGCUCUCGAUGGUCACUGCAGCCGCCGCCACCGCAUGCGGGGCGGAGCAGCCUAACAUGUGCGCCCCACCACACUCAGCCGUGCUGACAUUUCUCACGGAAGGCCAGCGCAGCACUACCGCCGUCACCAACAACGGCGCGGGCACCUUGUCGGGAGAAAAAUGGCGUGCGCGGCGGUGGGCCGCGGCACAGGAGGGCCUUCCACCGCCCUCACCGGCGGAGCUGAAUAGCUCGGUGACAGGCGCUGAGGCAACGGCGGAGGGGGAUGCGUCGUCGCGGACUGCAUUCUUUGCUGGGCCAUUGCGCUGCCACCCCUCCUACACGCUGGAGAUGGCGACAGACGUGACAGUGGACGGGGCGGCCUCGCCCAUGCCGGCGGCCGCUCUCAGCAGCGCUGCUCAUAAUGGUCGGUUGCCUGAGCAGGCGUCCAUAUCAACCGCAGCAGUCUACUCUUUUACCUUGUGUAGGGCCACUGCUGAGCGGACGGUGCUGCACAGCGCGCCGGAGUUCCCGUGGAAGGCGUUCACGCAGUACCUGCACAUCAACCGCGUUCAGCGCAGCCUCUCGCAGCUGAAGGCGCUGUCAAACAUAGCGCGCGCGGAGCUGUGCCGAGGCGGUGCCUGGGACGCUGCGUACGGCGCCUUGAGUCGUGCCAUUCACGUUCUCUUCCAGGCCGGCAGCUGUCGCAGCGUGGAGCACCUCACACACCUGGCUGAGACGCUGGUGCGGCGUGCGUCGCUCUGUCGCCACCGCGGCCACCUCUACGUUCUGGCCGCCUUCACCGACUUAUCGGUGGCAUGGAUGCUUUGCCCAGACAGCACCGCCUCCUCAGACCUUGCUGAGCUGCGUGCUCGAAAGGAGCUGGCGCAGGAGUCGCCUGCAACGUGGCUGCAGCGGUGCAACGACGCAGCGCACGUCGCAACUCCGGUGGCGCUGCUCGGCAUUAUCGCGCAGGUGCCGACGCUCUUCCCUCAGAAUCGAGCCCUGUGCCUCUGCAGCGCGCUCACCUUCUACAUGUAUGCCAAGCGGAUGCUGCGACAUUCACUGACGCACCUUCUGUGCCGCGCUGCCGAGUGUAUGACCCCUGGCACCGAGGAGGAGCUGCUCGUGACGGCGCUCCGCGAGGUGGCCGCCGCGCAGCAGAGCAAGGAGGUGACGAGCGCCCAGAAGGCUUGCGCAACCGCCGACUAUGCUUUCUCGCUGCUCCCCCUGCACGUGCGCAGCGCAGCCGAGACGCUGAUGGCGGCGUGGGUGCGGGACUGCUUUCCUCCUGACGGGCCAGCGUCCACCGCAACCAUCACGGACUGGGCAGACGUGGCCCCCGAGUCUCUUGCGUACAUCCACGCCACGCCGUUGGAGGUGCGCUGGGUGGCUUGGCUGGUCUGUGAGGUGCGGUGGUUCGCCUACGAAGAGCUGAUGGGUCCGCUGCCGUGCCAGACGGCACUGCUGAGCAUCGUAUUCGGUCCUACCGCGAACAGUCGCGCUGACGGGCUCGUGCGGCUGUCGAUGCAGUACGCGAACGCUGAUGUGCGCAGCGAGGACUUGCGGCCGGCCCUGCCUCACGGAACGAGCCGAGGCCACCUUGCCCAGAACCUUCUGGAGAGCGCUCUUCAGUUGCGUCCGCUGCAUCCCACGGCCGCCCUGCUGCUUGCGCGCAUGCACGCGCGUGACGCGGAGGGCCUGGGCAGGGCGAAUGCGGUGCUGACCGACAGCAUUCACGCGUGGGCACAGCGCUUCAGCAUGCUGGGGUUGCGCGGCUCAGCGGAGGUGAAGCUCGACGUUGCGCCAGAGGACCAGCAGGCACCGCCUGUGCGUGAGAGCGCUACCGUGCUUGCAUAUCUGCACCGGCGCGAUCGUCGCCCGGAAGUCUGCUUCAUCCCGUCGGAGCUGCUCGUGGAGCGCAGCCGGUGCCUGCAUACCAUCGCUGACAUAGCGGAGGCGACGGAGCAGCACCCGACCCUGUCCUACCCUUACCAGAUGCGUGCCGCCAUGGCCAUGGACCGCGGCUACCACCUUGCUGCCGUCAUGGAGCUGAAUCGCAUCAUGACGCUCACCAUGGACCCGAACGACAUCGCGCUGCGGGUGCGAUUCCUGCAAGACGCCAUCGCCAUGGCGUCCAGCUCGACCGAGGCGGACGCAUCAGCAACAGCAUCAGCGACGGCGGCUGAGGGAAUAUUAGAUCUCGCCUCCGUAGGGACCGCCGCGGCUUCCGGUGGCAACAACAGCAGCGAUGGGGAACUGGCGCUGCCGUCGAGCGCGAGCACACCACCGCUCCCGUCGCUCCACCUCGUGCCGCUCUAUCGUGCGUGGGCGGCGAGGAUGUUGGGCCUUCUCACCUUGCUGCGCUCUCCAGUGUCGACGAUCCCUGGCAGCCAGCAGCUACGCUCCCGAUUCCCAGGUCGAGAGUGGCUGCCAGCUCCGAGCGGUGCAGGGCCCUCCACGUCUUCGGAGGGACACGUCUCGCGUGUCGCGAGCAUGGCGUUUAGCGACGGCGACGAUGAAGCGACAUUGGUGGGUGCGGCGACUGAUGAAUUCGACGCCGCACACGUGCGGGCCUUUCUCGAAGACUUGCUUUCACCGACUGCCGCCCCUCUUGCUUUGACGGCCAUCAACACUGACGCUCGCACACCUGCGCACGCUCGUUGAGCGGUGUUGUGUGCGAGUGUGUCCCCCUUGCGUCCUGCACGCGAGCACGACUCUUCUCGCUGCAUCGGCGCUGCUCUCUCUCUCUCUCUCGCGCACCCUCAACACAUACAUGCACGCACUCACGCAAUGCUUAGCGACAGAAUGGCGAAGCCAAGUGAUGUCGGGGGUGGGCCGAGAGGUGGUGAAAACGGCGUGCUGGCCUUGGAAGUAACUUACGAAGAGCCGAGCUGAUGAGCAUAUCUCUGAGGUCGGGCCGUUUGACAGCUGUCUCGGAGGACUCCUCGCUUCCUCCAUGCGCUCUCUCGCGGGGGUGUGCAUGUGUACCGAUGCGUCGUGCCGCCUUCGUGUCGUGGUCUAUCAUCCUCGUUUCUCUGUGUUCCUCUCGCCUCUCUUAUUUCGGCACAACCGCGCCCAACGCAUAAG